CGCGCAUACCAUACAAUAUUGACCACCAUCGUUAGAAUGAAAAAAGAAAAGAUGGAUAAUAAAAAUGAAUGUAUAAAAUCAUCUCACGACUCGAGCUUUUUGCAAGCUGUAAUUAGUCACUGGGCAAUCCUAAACAUUGAUUGAUUGCAGUUGUCAAGCAUUUGAGAAAAAGAAAAACAUACUUAGUAUAGCAGGUAUGGAAUAAGUAACAUGGACCACAAAAAGCAACACCAAGUGCAUGCUUCUAAAUAAAGCAGCCCCAUCAGAGUAGUAGCUACAUGACUU
rnacentral:lncRNA from 1 species